AUUGAACGCUGGCGGCAGGCCUAACACAUGCCAGUCGAGCGGAGGAAGGGAGCUUGCUCCUGGAUUCAGCGGCGGACGGGUGAGUAAUGCCUAGGAAUCUGCCUGGUAGUGGGGGAUAACGUCCGGAAACGGGCGCUAAUACCGCAUACGUCCUGAGGGAGAAAGUGGGGGAUCUUCGGACCUCACGCUAUCAGAUGAGCCUAGGUCGGAUUAGCUAGUUGGUGGGGUAAAGGCCUACCAAGGCGACGAUCCGUAACUGGUCUGAGAGGAUGAUCAGUCACACUGGAACUGAGACACGGUCCAGACUCCUACGGGAGGCAGCAGUGUGGAAUAUUGGACAAUGGGCGAAAGCCUGAUCCAGCCAUGCCGCGUGUGUGAAGAAGGUCUUCGGAUUGUAAAGCACUUUAAGUUGGGAGGAAGGGCAGUAAGUUAAUACCUUGCUGUUUUGACGUUACCAACAGAAUAAGCACCGGCUAACUUCGUG
rnacentral:rRNA from 1 species